rnacentral:rRNA from 1 species
UACGUAGGGGGCAAGCGUUAUCCGGAUUUACUGGGUGUAAAGGGAGCGUAGACGGCCAGACAAGUCAGAAGUGAAAGCCCAGGGCUCAACCCUGGGACUGCUUUUGAAACUGACGGUCUUGAGUGGGCGAGAAGUAUGCGGAAUGCGUGGUGUAGCGGUGAAAUGCAUAGAUAUCACGCAGAACUCCGAUUGCGAAGGCAGCAUACCGGCGCCCAACUGACGCUGAAGCACGAAAGCGUGGGUAUCGAACAGG